rnacentral:rRNA from 1 species
GGAAGUAAAAGUCGUAACAAGGUUUCCGUAGGUGAACCUGCGGAAGGAUCAUUAAUGAUUUUUAAAGCGAGUCGAGCGUUAAGCGAGGCUUGCGAAAUAUUUAAAACCCCACUCUUUUUAACCUUAAAAAAUAAAUCAUGAUACAUGAAUUUAAAAAAAAGAUCACUUUCAACAACGGAUCUCUUGGCUCUCGCAUCGAUGAAGAACGCAGCGAAAUGCGAUAAGUAGUGUGAAUUGCAUAAUUUUGUGAAUCAUCGAAUCUUUGAACGCAUAUUGCACUUUCUGGUAUUCCGGAAAGUAUGCCUGUUUGAGGGUCAGUUAAAUAAAAAUCGGUGUUGUUGCCGCUUUUCGUGGUGACGCGUCGGAAUUGAGUUGUCUUACCUUCGGUUAAGUGACUUAAAAUUUUGUAUGAUUUUCGAACGUAUUUAAAUUUAUUUGAACGUUUGAUAUCGAAUGCUUAUUAGGUUCGGUCAUCCUCAUGACUCGCGCCUAUAAUUUUUCAUUAAAUGACCUCAAAUCAGGUAAGUAAUACCCGCUGAACUUAAGCAUAUCAAUAAGCGGAGGA